UAAGUCACAAUAGCAUAGGAGCUGUGUUCAAAAAGCAAGUUGAAUUUUAAGUUUUAUCAAAAAGUAUUUAAUUGUUUAUCAAAAUUAAUGUUGCUUCCUUCAAAGUAAUCCCCCCCCCCCCCUCUUGUGCCAACGUUUUUUUCCAAUCCUCGAAGCACUUCUGGGUUUCUGGAGUUUUGGGAACAGGAAAAAGUCCCAGAGGGCCACAUUCGGUGAAUAUGGUUGCUGAGGCAUAAUUAUGGUUCUGUUUUUGGACAAAAAGUUAGACACAAGCAACGAUAAUACUCUCUAAUGACCGUAGGACUUGUAAAUAGUCAGUAGAACCUUGACAUAUCUCCGAAAAUAUCCGAUUGCUCACAAGCCCGUGCGGUAACAUCCCGGAAACGUCCGAAGUGGCUUGGAUCCGUGGGAAAUGAAACUGAUCUGGUAAAAUGACACUUUCCGCACGUAUAAUUAAAAUACGUGCCUAUUCAAAGUACGUAGCAAACUUUUAGAAUAGAAAUAAUUAGGUGAAAAUUAGGUAUGGUAAAGCUCAAUAAAAUUUAUAUUUUUUUCUGUAGUGUGUACGUUUGUGAUAUUUUGUUUUAAAGUUUACUGUAGCAGCUAUCGAAACCUCACCAGUAGUUGUAAUAUAAAAUUGACACCG